CAAUAGCGUAUAUUUAAGUUGCUGCAGUUAAAAAGCUCGUAGUUGGAUUUCGGGUGGGAAUGGCCGGUCCGCCGUUUCGGUGUGCACUUGCUACGCCCACCUUGCUGCCGGGGACGUGCUCUUGAGUUCACGCUCGGGACACGGAGUCGGCGAGGUUUCUUUGAGUAAAUUAGAGUGUUCAAAGCAGGCCUACGCUCUGAAUACAUUAGCAUGGAAUAACACGAUAGGACUCUGGCCUAUCUUGUUGGUCUGUAGGACCGGAGUAAUGAUUAAGAGGGACAGUCGGGGGCAUUCGUAUUUCAUUGUCAGAGGUGAAAUUCUUGGAUUUAUGAAAGACGAACUACUGCGAAAGCAUUUGCCAAGGAUGUUUUCAUUAA
rnacentral:rRNA from 1 species